rnacentral:tRNA from 1 species
GCCCACGUAGCUCAGUAGGUAGAGCGCAUCCUUGGUAAGGAUGAGGUCAGCAGUUCAAUUCUGCUCGUGGGCUCCA